GGAAUAAUGAUCUAGGGGUUAUGAUUCUUAACUUUUAAUUAAGACACAGUGGUUCGAGUCCACUUUAUUCUA
rfam:Hanseniaspora opuntiae strain AWRI3578 Hanseniaspora_opuntiae_AWRI3578_scaffold228, whole genome shotgun sequence.